rnacentral:rRNA from 1 species
GACGAACGCUGGCGGCGUGCUUAACACAUGCAAGUCGAACGGUAAGGCCCUUCGGGGUACACGAGUGGCGAACGGGUGAGUAACACGUGGGUGAUCUGCCCUGCACUUCGGGAUAAGCCUGGGAAACUGGGUCUAAUACCGGAUAGGACUCCGGACUGCAUGGUCUGGGGUGGAAAGCUUUUGCGGUGUGGGAUGGGCCCGCGGCCUAUCAGCUUGUUGGUGGGGUGAUGGCCUACCAAGGCGACGACGGGUAGCCGGCCUGAGAGGGUGACCGGCCACACUGGGACUGAGAUACGGCCCAGACUCCUACGGGAGGCAGCAGUGGGGAAUAGUGCACAAUGGGCGCAAGCCUGAUGCAGCGACGCCGCGUGAGGGAUGACGGCCUUCGGGUUGUAAACCUCUUUCAGCACAGACGAAGCGCAAGUGACGGUAUGUGCAGAAGAAGGACCGGCCAACUACGUGCCAGCCGCCGCAGUAAAAC